GUUUUGUUGUUGAAUGAAGAUGAACUUUGGUAUUCCUUUAUUAUCUGAAGAUGUCUACUUUCUUGUGCAGAAUUUUUUUAGCCUGAAAUCAAACGGGCGGGAUAAGCAUAAGUGUUAAAUAACCUUUGACAAUUUGGUCUGUUUCAUAUGAGAAAAACUUUUACAUUGUAACGAUUUGCAAAAUUUACGCCUAACGGAUUUCAAUAAAAAUAGAUAUACCGCAUCUAGGAAUAGGAAAAUGGGUGUAUCCCAAAAACAGGCGAGAACGCUGAUGUUUGUAUUUUGUAAAUAUAAGGUAAAUUGAGGUACCAUGCAGUUUAUCGAGCCAACCCAUUACACCGAAAUUGUAAUGAAACCUGCGAGCCUGUAUGAUCGGUCAUCGAAUUUAAAAUGGCAAGAACUGCAAAAAACCAGACAUUGAGAAUAUGAGGUCUUAUCAAAAUCGUUAA